rnacentral:rRNA from 1 species
GACAGAGGGUGCAAACGUUGUUCGGAUUUACUGGGCGUAAAGCGCGUGUAGGCGGCUUUGCAAGUCGGAUGUGAAAGCCCACGGCUCAACCGUGGAAGUGCAUCCGAAACUGCAUGGCUCGAGUCUCGGAGAGGAUCGUGGAAUUCUCGGUGUAGAGGUGAAAUUCGUAGAUAUCGGGAGGAACACCAGUGGCGAAGGCGGCGAUCUGGGAACAUACUGACGCUGAGGUGCGAAAGCGUGGGGAGCAAACAGG